AAUAGCAACUGAAGAAAGAAGCUACUCCAGGCAUGCUAUUACAAAAUAAUUUAACACUAGCAAAUAUGUUGAUUUGUACAAUUAGCUCAGAGAACGGGAGAUC